rnacentral:rRNA from 1 species
UUGGCCUACGGGACGCAGCAGUGGGGGAUAUUGCACAAUGGGGGGAACCCUGAUGCAGCGACGCCGCGUGGGUGAAGGAGCGUUUCGGCGCGUAAAGCCCUAUCGGCAGGGAAGAAGGAGGACGGUACCUGACUAAGAAGCCCCGGCUAACUACGUGCCAGCAGCCGCGGUAAUACGUAGGGGGCAAGCGUUGUCCGGAUUUACUGGGUGUAAAGGGCGUGUAGCCGGGAAGGCAAGUCAGAUGUGAAAUCCGGAGGCUCAACCUCCGAAUUGCAUUUGAAACUGUUUUUCUUGAGUACUGGAGA